UGAAACCUGUUGAUGUAUGGAUUAGUGGCGGACGGGUGAGUAACGCGUGGAUAACCUGCCGUAUACAGGGGGAUAACACUUAGAAAUAGGUGCUAAUACCGCAUAAGCGCACGGUUCCGCGUGGAACAGUGUGAAAAACUCCGGUGGUAUACGAUGGAUCCGCGUCUGAUUAGCCAGUUGGCGGGGUAACGGCCCACCAAAGCGACGAUCAGUAGCCGGCCUGAGAGGGUGAACGGCCACAUUGGGACUGAGACACGGCCCAAACUCCUACGGGAGGCAGCAGUGGGGAAUAUUGCACAAUGGGGGAAACCCUGAUGCAGCGACGCCGCGUGAGUGAAGAAGUAUCUCGGUACGUAAAGCUCUAUCAGCAGGGAAGAAAAUGACGGUACCUGACUAAGAAGCCCCGGCUAACUACGUGCCAGCAGCCGCGGUAAUACGUAGGGGGCAAGCGUUAUCCGGAUUUACUGGGUGUAAAGGGAGCGUAGACGGCAGCGCAAGUCUGGAGUGAAAUGCCGGGGCUCAACCCCGGAACUGCUUUGGAAACUGUGCAGCUCGAGUGCAGGAGAGGUAAGCGGAAUUCCUAGUGUAGCGGUGAAAUGCGUAGAUAUUAGGAGGAACACCAGUGGCGAAGGCGGCUUACUGGACUGUAACUGACGUUGAGGCUCGAAAGCGUGGGGAGCAAACAGGAUUAGAUACCCUGGUAGUCCACGCCGUAAACGAUGAUUACUAGGUGUCGGGGGGCCAAGGCCCUCCGGUGCCGC
rnacentral:rRNA from 1 species